rnacentral:lncRNA from 1 species
UUUCCUGUGACGCUCUAAUGAUAAACGACAUGGGCUAAGCUGCCAGGCAGUGGCCAGAGUCAAUUUACCCUUAACUCAGUAGUUCUGCUAGCUUUCUGCUUCUGCACAUUGCACACAACUCUUCUACGAGUCCCAGUAUUUUUAUUUAGUUUUACAAAUAUAUAAUUUUAUGCAUUCUAUACUUUCUUAUCCAUACAUAUCCAAAGGAGACCAGGAACUACUAUCAAAUGUUGUACAGAACUCAUUUCACAACUUCAAUAACUUUUUCCUUUCUUGGAGUCCCAAUGUUGGCUCUAUUUCAUUUUCCUAUAAUUUCUUCAAACUUUCUUUGCAAGUCAAACAUUAACCUGGAACUACCAUUGUGCAGUUAUUGCAUUAUUGCCAGAUAAGAGUGCACAGCACACACCUGGGCCAUUAGGACUGUGCUGUGCUGUGUCUCAGUUUUCAAUUGUUUAAGAAUCAUUACAUCAAGGAACAUCUAGUUUCACAGAAUUCACCAGAGCUGCCAUGGGCUAAGGAGAUGUCUCCAUCCCCGCCUACUGCAGGCAGUCAUUGUCAUGGUAUGCUGUCUGUCUUAGUUAGGGUUUUACUGCUGUGAACAGACACCAUGACCAAGGCAAGUCUUAUAAAAAAACAACAUUUAACUGGGGCUGGCUUACAGGUUCAGAGGUUCAGUCCAUUAUCAUCAAGAUGGGAGCAUGGCAGUAACCAGACAGGCAUGGCACAGGCAGAGCUGAGAGUUCUACAUCUUCAUCCAAAGGCUGCUAGUGGAAGACCGACUUCCAGGCAACUAGGGUGAGGAUAUUAAACCCACACCCACAGUGACACACCUACUCCAACCAGGUCACACCUAGUCCAACAAGGCCACAUCUCCAAAUGGUGCCACUCCCUAGCCCAAGAAUAUACAAACCAUCACAGUUGUUCCUAGCAGAAAUGAAAUAAACGGACAGCCAACCGAAUUUUAUCUUGGAGUAUUGAGGGAGAAAAAAAUAUGUAAAUUUUUAGGCAGAAACUUAAAUCAACUCGUUGUAGGGUGAUGCACAACUACAAAGCAACCCUAGGUUAUGAGAAUUUUCUCCAAGUUUCCCGAGUACUAACCAUAGUUGUGAUAGGAGAAAGGGGAACAGGGAAGCCUCCCAGAGUUAGUUCCUGCCCUCAACUGACAUGAAUGCCAAGAAACAUGAGAUUCCCACUGAAUGAAAGCCCCUGAAGUCAGCGAUGGGCUUCCUUACCUGGCCCUUUUCCCACUCUCUAUAGUUGUUUCACUAAGCUUGGGGUUUGUAGGUAAACAAAUUGACUUUGAAAUCAGCUGUAAAUGUUUACAAAGGUUUAUUUUAUGUAGAUUGGUCUUUUGCCUGUGAGCACAUCUGUAUGGGUCCCAGAUUCCCUGGAAUUAGAGUUACAGACAGUUGUGAGCUGCCAUGUGGUUGCUGGGAAUUGAACCUGUGUCCUCUGAAAGAGCAGCCAGUGCUUUCAAUUGCUGAGCCAACUCUCCAGCC